CGGGCCGUAGCGCAGAGGUCGUCGCGUCUCCCUGCAAAGGAGAAGGACGCCGGUUCGACUCCGGCCGGUCCGCC
rnacentral:tRNA from 1 species